AGGAUUAACGCUGGCGGCGUGCCUAACACAUGCAAGUCGAACGAGGUAGCAAUACCUAGUGGCAGACGGGUGAGUAACGCGUGGUCAACCUACCGUUGAGUGGGGGAUAACUAGCCGAAAGGUUAGCUAAUACCGCAUACGUCUCCGAGGGGCAUCCCUUGGCGAUAAAAGGAGCAAUCCGCUCGAUGACGGGACCGCGUCCCAUUAGCUAGAUGGUGGGGUAACGGCCUACCAUGGCACCGAUGGGUAGCUGGUUUGAGAGAGCGACCAGCCACACUGGGACUGAGAAACGGCCCAGACUCCUACGGGAGGCAGCAGUGAGGAAUUUUCCGCAAUGGGCGCAAGCCUGACGGAGCGACGCCGCGUGUGGGAAGAAGGCCUUCGGGUCGUAAACCGACUGUCGAAGGGGACGAUAAUGACGGUACCCUUGGAGGAAGCCCCGGCUAACUACGCGCCAGCGGCCGC
rnacentral:rRNA from 1 species